CCUACGGGAGGCAGCAGUGGGGAAUAUUGCACAAUGGGGGAAACCCUGAUGCAGCAACGCCGCGUGAAGGAUGACGGUUUUCGGAUUGUAAACUUCUUUUCUUAGUGACGAAGAAAGUGACGGUAGCUAAGGAAUAAGCAUCGGCUAACUACGUGCCAGCAGCCGCGGUAAUACGUAGGAUGCAAGCGUUAUCCGGAUUUACUGGGUGUAAAGGGAGCGCAGGCGGGACUGCAAGUUGGAUGUGAAAUACCGUGGCUUAACCACGGAACUGCAUCCAAAACUGUAGUUCUUGAGUGAAGUAGAGGCAAGCGGAAUUCCGAGUGUAGCGGUGAAAUGCGUAGAUAUUCGGAGGAACACCAGUGGCGAAGGCGGCUUGCUGGGCUUUAACUGACGCUGAGGCUCGAAAGUGUGGGGAGCAAACAGGAUUAGAUACCCUGGUAGUCCACACUGUAAACGAUGAUAGCUAGGUGUGGGGGGUCUGACCCCUUCCGUGCCGGAGUUAACGCAAUAAGCUAUCCACCUGGGGAGUACGACCGCAAGGUUGAAACUCAAAGGAAUUGACGGGGGCCCGCACAAGCAGUGGAGUAUGUGGUUUAAUUCGACGCAACGCGAAGAACCUUACCAAGUCUUGACAUCCCUUGACGAUGCUGGAAACAGUAUUUCUCUUCGGAGCAAGGAGACAGGUGGUGCAUGGUUGUCGUCAGCUCGUGUCGUGAGAUGUUGGGUUAAGUCCCGCAACGAGCGCAACCCCUGCCAUUAGUUGCUACGCAAGAGCACUCUAAUGGGACCGCUACCGACAAGGUGGAGGAAGGUGGGGACGACGUCAAAUCAUCAUGCCCCUUAUGACCUGGGCUACACACGUAAUACAAUGGCCGUUAACAGAGGGAAGCAAAGCGGUGACGCAGAGCAAAACCCUAAAAACGGUCCCAGUUCGGACUGUAGGCUGCAACCCGCCUACACGAAGUUGGAAUUGCUAGUAAUCGCGGAUCAGCAUGCCGCGGUGAAUACGUUCCCGGGCCUUGUACACACCGCCCGUCACACCAUGAGAGCCGGGGGGACCCGAAGUCGGUAGUCUAACCGCAAGGAGGACGCCGCCGAAGGUAAAACUGGUGAUUGGGGUGAAGUCGUAACAAGGUAGCCGUAGGAGAACCUGCGGCUG
rnacentral:rRNA from 1 species